rfam:Hordeum vulgare subsp. vulgare, WGS project CAJW01000000 data, contig: morex_contig_6733
UUUGUACUCCUUCCGUCCAAAAAAAUACUUAUCAUAGAAAUGAAUACAUCUAGAUGUAUUUUAGUUUUAGAUAUAUUCAUUUUUAUAAAUUUAUGUGAUAAGUAAUUCCGGACGGAGGGAGUACCUU